rnacentral:rRNA from 1 species
AGUGAACGCUGGCGGUAGGCCUAACACAUGCAAGUCGAACGGCAGCACAGGAGAGCUUGCUCUCUGGGUGGCGAGUGGCGGACGGGUGAGGAAUACAUCGGAAUCUACUCUGUCGUGGGGGAUAACGUAGGGAAACUUACGCUAAUACCGCAUACGACCUACGGGUGAAAGCAGGGGAUCUUCGGACCUUGCGCGAUUGAAUGAGCCGAUGUCGGAUUAGCUAGUUGGCGGGGUAAAGGCCCACCAAGGCGACGAUCCGUAGCUGGUCUGAGAGGAUGAUCAGCCACACUGGAACUGAGACACGGUCCAGACUCCUACGGGAGGCAGCAGUGGGGAAUAUUGGACAAUGGGCGCAAGCCUGAUCCAGCCAUACCGCGUGGGUGAAGAAGGCCUUCGGGUUGUAAAGCCCUCUUGUUGGGAAAGAAAUCCAGCUGGCUAAUACCCGGUUGGGAUGACGGUACCCAAAGAAUAAGCACCGGCUAACUUCGUGCCAGCAGCCGCAGUAAUAC